CAGAUAAUAAAUGAAGAAGGAAUGAUAGGAUUAUAAAAUCACCAUUUGCAAAUACUAAUGAAAUAAUGGAUUUGGGCAAAGAUCA